UCCCAGGUAGCUUAAUGGUAAAGCACCCAACCGGCAAUUGGGGGAUCUGGGUUCAAGUCCCAGUCUAGGCU
rfam:Strigamia maritima strain Brora ctg7180001079520, whole genome shotgun sequence.